UACGUAGGGUGCAAGCGUUGUCCGGAAUUAUUGGGCGUAAAGAGCUCGUAGGCGGUUUGUCGCGUCUGCUGUGAAAACCCGAGGCUCAACCUCGGGCCUACAGUGGGUACGGGCAGACUAGAGUGCGGUAGGGGAGAUUGGAAUUCCUGGUGUAGCGGUGAAAUGCGCAGAUAUCAGGAGGAACACCGAUGGCGAAGGCAGGUCUCUGGGGCCACUACUGACGCUGAGAAGCGAAAGCAUGGGGAGCGAACAGG
rnacentral:rRNA from 1 species